GAUGAACGCUGGCGGCGUGCCUAAUACAUGCAAGUCGAGCGAACAGACGAGGAGCUUGCUCCUCUGACGUUAGCGGCGGACGGGUGAGUAACACGUGGAUAACCUACCUAUAAGACUGGGAUAACUUCGGGAAACCGGAGCUAAUACCGGAUAAUAUAUUGAACCGCAUGGUUCAAUAGUGAAGGACGGUUUUGCUGUCACUUAUAGAUGGAUCCGCGCCGCAUUAGCUAGUUGGUAAGGUAACGGCUUACCAAGGCAACGAUGCGUAGCCGACCUGAGAGGGUGAUCAGCCACACUGGAACUGAGACACGGUCCAGACUCCUACGGGAGGCAGCAGUAGGGAAUCUUCCGCAAUGGGCGAAAGCUUGACGGAGCAACGCCGCGUGAGUGAUGAAGGUCUUCGGAUCGUAAAACUCUGUUAUUAGGGAAGAACAAAUGUGUAAGUAACUAUGCACGUCUUGACGGUACCUAAUCAGAAAGCAACGGCUAACUACGUG
rnacentral:rRNA from 1 species